rnacentral:rRNA from 1 species
UCCCAUUCCGAACACAGAAGUUAAGCCCUGCAUCGCUGAUAAUACUUGGAGGGCAGCCUCCUGGGAAAGUAGGACGCAGCCAAUU